GUGGACCUCGUUAGAAAACUGGAAUUUUUUUUCCACGAAAGUGCUCCAUCCCUAAUCCACCCAUCCUCCUCCCGGACGCACGCACCGCCGUCCCCCCGCCGCCCACCGGAUUCUCCACCACCUGCGCGCCGCGGCCAGCGCCGCAGUAGACCACCCGCUCGUGUCCUCCUUCAAGACGCUAGGCUCGUCUUCUUCAACGCCGCCCGGCCACCUUGCCCUCCCCUGCGUUCCCUGCCGCAAUGCCGCUGCCUUUCCUCGAAGCCGGGGCCGCCGUCAAUUCGCCGGCAGGAGUCACCCUCUAACAGGCGGUGGCCAUCGCCGAUACAAACUUCGGCUAGAUCCGGUGAGCCCACGAGAGAAAGAAGGGAGGGGGCGCUAGCUAGCAGAGGAGGAGAGGAGGCGGCGUGCGCUGGUGAGAGGUGGCAUCGCAUCAGAUCCUUCGCCACCUGCGCGUCGCAGCCGAUGACGCCGCGAUGA
rnacentral:lncRNA from 1 species